rnacentral:rRNA from 1 species
CGUGAGCUGGGUUUAGAACGUCGUGAGACAGUUCGGUCCCUAUCUUCCGUGGGUGUAGGAUACUUGAGAGGAGUUGCCCCUAGUACGAGAGGACCGGGGUGAACGAACCACUGGUGGACCAGUUGUCGUGCCAACGGCAGUGCUGGGUAGCUAUGUUCGGACAGGAUAACCGCUGAAGGCAUCUAAGCGGGAAGCCCCCCUCAAAACAAGGUAUCCCUGAGAGCCGAGGUGAAGAAUA